rnacentral:rRNA from 1 species
CGGGGGGGGCAAGCGUUGUUCGGAAUUACUGGGCGUAAAGGGCUCGUAGGCGGCCAACUGAGUCAGACGUGAAAUCCCUAGGCUCAACCUAGGAACUGCGUCUGAUACUGGAUGGCUUGAAUCCGGGAGAGGGAUGCAGAAUUCCAGGUGUAGCGGUGAAAUGCGUAGAUAUCUGGAGGAAUACCGGUGGCGAAGGCGGCAUCCUGGACCGGCAUUGACGCUGAGGAGCGAAAGCUAGGGGAGCAAACGGGAUUAGAUACCCCGGUAGUCCUAGCCCUAAACGAUGAAUGCUUGGUGUAACGGGUAUCGAUCCCUGUUGUGCCGAAGCUAAUGCAUUAAGCAUUCCGCCUGGGGAGUACGGUCGCAAGGCUG